UACGUAGGGUGCGAGCGUUGUCCGGAUUUAUUGGGUUUAAAGGGUGCGUAGGCGGUUUUUUAAGUUAGUGUUCAAAUACGAUGGCUCAACCACCGGUCGGGCAUUAAAACUGAGAAACUUGAGUAAGGUUAAGGCAGCUGGAAUUUGUGGUGUAGCGGUGAAAUGCUCAGAUACCACAAGGAACGCCGAUCGUGAAGACAGGCUGCAGGGCCUUUACUGACGCUGAGGCACGAAAGUGUGGGGAGCAAACAGG
rnacentral:rRNA from 1 species